rnacentral:lncRNA from 10 species
CCCAGAUACCCUUUUCUCAUCCUUUGAGUUCAACAGAUGUCUCUUCUGGUUGCAAGUGACAGAAGCCCACACAGAAAAGGCUCAGACCAAAGAGAAAUUUAUGGGCUCCUGAAACCGAUUCUUUCAAGAAUUGCAAACUUGGCUGAAGACCUUCCUGUCCCCUUUCUUACCUCCCAUGUACAGGAUGGGGGUGAUGAUCCCACUUCUCUGACUCUCACCCAGAAGUUAGGAACUCCUUAAG